GAUGAACGCUGGCGGCGUGCCUAAUACAUGCAAGUCGAGCGAACAGACGAGUAGCUUGCUCCUCUGACGUUAGCCGCGGACGGGUGAGUAACACGUGGAUAACCUACCUAUAAGACUGGGAUAACUUCGGGAAACCGGAGCUAAUACCGGAUAAUAUAUUGAACCGCAUGGUUUAAUAGUGAAAGACGGUUUUGCUGUCACUUAUAGAUGGCUCCGCGCCUCAUUAGCUAGUUGGUAAGGUAACGGCCUACCAAGGGAACGAUGCGUAGCCGAGCUGAAAGGGUGGUCGGCGGCACGGGAAGUGGAACACGCUCACGGCGACUGCGAGAGGCAGCAGACGCGAACCGGCCGCAGUGGGGGAAAGUCUGGCGGAGCGACGGAGCGUGAGAGAUGACGACGCUCGGUGCGGAAUACUCGGUUUCGAGGGAAAAACAACUGUGUACGUAACAAAGCAGGUCGUGACGGUACCUAAUCAGAAAGCCACGGCUAACUACGUG
rnacentral:rRNA from 1 species